GUUUGUAGAUUAAUACAAAAAUAUUGUCAGACAAAAAAAGUGGAAACAUAUGCCCACACAGGCCGAGACUGCGAACAGUACCCAACCCAUGCCAGCAAAUACAGUUCACAAAGUGUGCGUGUUAACGCAGCCCGCUCAGAGCUUUGCAGCAGAGAGCGGGCCAACAAUCCUAAUUAAAGGAGUUAUUUUUAAUGAUCCAACCGCAGGUUCACCUACGGUUA
rnacentral:misc_RNA from 1 species